rnacentral:rRNA from 1 species
AUUGAACGCUGGCGGCAGGCCUAACACAUGCAAGUCGAGCGGAUGAAGGGAGCUUGCUCCUGGAUUCAGCGGCGGACGGGUGAGUAAUGCCUAGGAAUCUGCCUGGUAGUGGGGGAUAACGUCCGGAAACGGGCGCUAAUACCGCAUACGUCCUGAGGGAGAAAGUGGGGGAUCUUCGGACCUCACGCUAUCAGAUGAGCCUAGGUCGGAUUAGCUAGUUGGUGGGGUAAAGGCCUACCAAGGCGACGAUCCGUAACUGGUCUGAGAGGAUGAUCAGUCACACUGGAACUGAGACACGGUCCAGACUCCUACGGGAGGCAGCAGUGGGGAAUAUUGGACAAUGGGCGAAAGCCUGAUCCAGCCAUGCCGCGUGCGUGAAGAAGGUCUUCGGGUUGUAAAGCACUUUAAGUUGGGAGGAAGGGCAGUAAGUUAAUACCUUGCUGUUUUGACGUUACCAACAGAAUAAGCACCGGCUAACUUCGUG